CUACGGGGGAAGGCUGCACCCCCAUGUGGGGCCAUAUCCAUUGACAUUGUUCGGCCGGAGUAAGCCCCACCCCCGUGCGUGCUUCCUCCUGACGUCGUCCGGCCUCGAGGAAAAGCCCCGCCUUUAGCUGAAGACCUUGGAAUCCCUGUGACCCCCUCACCUGGCAUCUCUCUCCUGUGUAACCAUGGGGGCAGAUGCAAUGAAGCCCCUCCAAGCCAUCUUGGCAUGUUCCUCCAUUCCUGCACGGUGCCCCCAUUAAGACAUGAGACUGGAAGAAGGAAUGGAGAGAAGAGGGGUGUGGAUUUUGGUUUCCACUUUGUUCUCUAGAGGACCAAGAUGGAUGUCACUAGAAUAAAAUGGGAGAAGCACAUAGCAAUACAGCAUUUUGUCUGAAAAAAAAUCAACAACAACAAACAACCACAUAGGAUUUUCGUUGACUGCAAAUAUAAAUCAACAUGAAUCAACUGAGUUAAAUGGCAGCUAAUGUGACACUGGGCUACAUUUAAAAGGACAUGGUUUCCAGGAAUAAGGAAAUAAUUCCUCUGUACUCUGGUCCUGGUCAGUUUAAGAAGGCAUUGAUAAGCUGGCAGAGUGUCUAGAGCUGGGCAACUAGCAUGGCAAAAGGCUUUGAUUUCAUAAGAGAAGAGAAUAAGCAUUUAUUAAGCAACUCCUCUGUGUGACAUGUUAUGCUACACAUUUCCCAAAUAUUCUCUGAUUUGAUCCUUACAACAACCCUGGGAGGUAGUAGGGCUAUUAUUAUUUCCAAUUUACUUUUGAUGAAUCCAAGGCAGAAAGUAUUAAAGUGGCUUGUUCAGGAUCACACAGCUAGUAAGUGUCUCAGGCCAGAUUUUGGCUUAGGUGUUUCUGAUUCUAGGUCCAGUGCUUUGUCCUCUUUACUACCUUGCUGCCUUCAGUCUCAUGUCCUAUAUAUAACGAUUGAAGGAAAUAGGAAUGUUUAGCCUAGGGAAAACUCAGGGAGGACAUUAUAGCUGUCUUCAAGUAUCUAAAAGGCUGUCAUGAAGAAGAUAUUUUACAACAUUUUAAUGGUGCAAAGAAAAUUGGGAUGACUUCUUUAAAUGGAUGAAAAAUGAAGUGAACAGAACCAGAACAAUUUAUACAUUGCCAACAAUAUUGUAAAGAAAAACAAGUUUGAAGACUUGGAAACACUGAUGAACAUUAGGACCAACCACUGUUCCAGAGGACUCAUUAAAAAAAUAUUUUAUUUUAAUAACAAAUUUAUAUAUAAGGUUUCCAAAGUUAUAUGAUUCAUGUCGUCUCACUCCCUUCUUCCCUCCCUUAGUUGACAAAUAAUUCAAUCUGGGUUAUAGAUGUAUUAUCAUGUAAAACAUUUCUAUAUUCAUUUUUGAAAGUGAAUAAUCUUAUAAAACCAAAACCCCAAAUCACAUACCCAGAUAAACAAGUGAUGUGUUUUCAUCUGCAUUUCUAUUCCAAUAGUUCUUUCUCUAGGGGUGGAUAGCAUUCUUUUUUAUAAGUUCCUAAGAAUUGUCCUGGAUCAUUGUUAAUAGCUAAAUCUAUCACAUUUGAUGGUCCCACAAUAUUUCAGUUACUUAGUAUGAUGUUCUCCUGGUUCUAUAUAUUCCACUCUGCAUCAGUUCCUGUAGGCCUUUCCAGCUCUUUCUGAAAUCACCCUGUUCAUAAUUCCUUACAGCACAAUAGUAUUCCAUAACCAUUAUAUACCACAAUUUGUUCAGCCAUUCCCUAACUGAGGGACAUCCCUUUAGUUUCCAAAUCUUUGACACUACAAAAAGAACAGCUAUAAAUAUUUAUGUACAAACAGAUCCUUUUCCACUUUUUAUUUUAUCACUUUGGGAUUCAGAUCUAGUAGUGGUAUUGCUGGAUCAAAAGGUAUGCAUUCUUUUAUAGCCCUUUGGGCAUAAUUCCAAAUUGCCCCAGAGGACUCAUUGUGAAACAGGUUACUUUCUUUCUGAAAGAGAGGGGAUGGAUUCAGAGUGCAGAUUGAAACUUUUUUUUAAUUAAAAAAAAUUUUUUUACACCCUUACCUUCCAUUUUAGAAUCAAUACUGUGUAUUGGUUCUAAGGCAGAAGAGCAGCAAGUGCUAGGCAAUGGAGGGGUCACACAGCUAGGAAAUGUCUGAGGUCAAAUUUGAAUGCAGGACCUCCCAUCUCUGGACCUGACUCUUAAUCCACUGGGCCACUCAGCUGCUCUUUGAAACAUUUUUUUUUGGAAAUAAUCAAUUGUUUUGCUGGAUUAUACAUGUGUGUAACAAGGGAUUUUUUCCCCUUGCUUUCCCAUUGGGGAUAGGGUUGGGAGUGUGGAGGGAGGGAGAAGGCAGGUCUUCAUUUGAAAAAAAUUUAAUUACAAUAUUUUUAGUGAGAGCAGUAUGAUUGAAUGUGCUAUGUUAUUUAUAAAAUUCUUGGUUCAACAAUUUGAAAUCCAGUGAUUUAAUAAAAAUAAUAUUAGAUUA